CCCUGAGAUGGGGAACGAUAAAAAACGGACGAACACAACAAGAUUUUGUUGUGUUCGUCCGUUUUUAUAUCGUUCCCCAUCUCAGGGUUU
rnacentral:pre_miRNA from 1 species